UAAAAAAAUAAAAAAAGAUUCUACCCUCAGAGAGGAGGAAAAGAAGAAAAAAAAUAAAGAAAAGUGGAGAUGGGGGUGGCGGGGGAGAACCAUCUGAUGACUAAUAUGGACUUCGCAGAUUUUCCAACAUAACAAGGAGUGUCUGGAAUAGGAAACAAAUGCAUUUCUGGUUAUAAAAAGACUGAAGUAAAUACAUUGAUGUUGAACCAGUUGUGAUGCUUUUAACCACAAAUAAUAGAUAACUGAUGUGAGCAAUAAGGAAACACGUGGUUUUAACACUAAGACCAGAGAUAAGGCAGAAUCUGGGUGAUAAGUUUCCAUUCCCCUACAGAUUUCUCAGGCUCUGCCUUCUAGGCAUAUUUGCUUUAUCUUCAAAUUAUGUCAAAUAACAUAAUAAAUUAAUGGCUUCAUUUCUUCUUUUUAUUCCAUUUCAUUCUUGCCACAUUCCUCGUCCUUAAAAAUUGUAAAAAUAUAAUUUUAUCAAUCUUUUCAUAGGUUUUUGCUGGCAUUUAUUUACUUGCUUACGUAUUUAGAACCUAUGCCAGGGAAACACAAUUCUUGCUCUUUAGGAGCUUGUUGUCUCUUUCUUAUUACAUGAAAUAGACAAAUGCAUGACAAAUGCGUGACCUAAACACCCGUCUAGAAGUUUACAUCUUUGAGAACCGGUGGCCACAUUGAGUGGAACAGCCAGAUUGGUCAGUCGAAAUUAUUCCUGACAGGAAACUUGUAUCAGCAGGCUUUUCUGUUCUUCAGUGAUUUAGAUCCCUCAGUGACUAAUGCUUGUGGAACUAUUGACGAUUCUUGCUAAAUGUCUUUAUCAAAAGACAAGAGUGAGGUUUUAAUUCUCCAUGAACUUCUUUUUCUCUUUCCUCCCAGGAAAAAAAUCAUGAAGGGGGCUCUCUAGGGCAUGCCUCCAGGAAAAAGGCCAGUACUCUUGAUCCAGGGGUGAAGUCAUUAACAAGUAACGUGUCGGCCUUACAGAGGAUUUCCUUUCAUCCAAACCACUCUCUACAACACAUCCUGCCAUUCUAUCCCUGUCUUUUUCUCUGCUCUAAAAAAGGAGAAACACACAAAAGCUGUUUUAGGGAUACUUGUCAACAAUUAAAAUACCACCUUUUGAAGCAUUUAUUCCUUUGAUACAAUGUGUUCUCUCAUGAUGACGUAUAGAGACAAGUUACAGGUUUGACCUGGUCAUCUUAGCUUUUUAUAGGAUUGGGAAGAAUGCAAAGACUGUGAAGAUGCUAAAUGAAUCUUCCUGGUGCUAGCAGAGGUAAAUAAGGCUGUGAUGGGCAAUUUGGAGUAUCAAGGAAAACCUUUGCCUACUGAACAUUACAGGCAGUGUUGGCCUAAUGCAUAUGGCUAGUGAGGAAUAUACAAGUAUGGUAUAAUCACGGAAAGCUCUUGGAAUAACACCUGGUCCUAUCAAACUUUGUUCAAUUUUUUACUAAUUUGAAGUUAUGUGAACAAAAGUUUAAUUGUUAAAAUAUCCACUGUCAGAACGUAUUUCACAGUAAGUGAGCAGUCAGAAACACUUCGCCACUUGUUAGCUGUGUAAAUGUCAACUCUUAGAGCCUUGUUUUCAGUUAAAGUGGAUUUAAGGGGCACUUGGGUGGCUUAGUCGGUUAAGAGUCUGACUCUUGAUUUUGGUUCAGGUCAUGAUCUCAUGGAUCUGAGGUCGAUCCCCAUGUUGGGCUCUGCCCUGACAGCAAGGCACCUGCUUGGGACUCUCUCUCUCUCCCUCUCUC
rnacentral:lncRNA from 1 species